rnacentral:rRNA from 1 species
ACACGACUACAUUAGACUACCCGUGUAGUCCUAGCCGUAAACGAUACUCGCUAGGUGUCGGCCACGGUGCGACCGUUGUCGGUGCCGUAGGGAAGCCGUGAAGCGAGCCACCUGGGAAGUACGGCCGCAAGGCUGAAACUUAAAGGAAUUGGCGGGGAGCACCACAAGAGGUGGAGGCUGCGGUUCAAUUGGACUCAACGCCGGAAAACUCAUCGGGAGCGACAGCAGUAUGAUUGCCAGGUUGAUGACCUUGCUUGACAAGCUG